UACGGAGGGGGCUAGCGUUGUUCGGAAUUACGGGGCGUAAAGCGCACGUAGGCGGCUUUGUAAGUUAGAGGUGAAAGCCCGGGGCUCAACUCCGGAAUUGCCUUUAAGACUGCAUCGCUAGAAUUGUGGAGAGGUAAGUGGAAUUCCGAGUGUAGAGGUGAAAUUCGUAGAUAUUCGGAAGAACACCAGUGGCGAAGGCGACUUACUGGACACAUAUUGACGCUGAGGUGCGAAAGCGUGGGGAGCAAACAGG
rnacentral:rRNA from 1 species